rnacentral:rRNA from 1 species
CAGCAUGCCGCGGUGAAUACGUUCCCGGGCCUUGUACACACCGCCCGUCACACCAUGAGAGUCGGGAACACCCGAAGUCCGUAGCCUAACCGCAAGGGGGCGCGGCCGAAGGUGGGUUCGAUAAUUGGGUGAAGUCGUAACAAGGUACC